AUAGCCAAGACGUAUAAAGUUUGGAAACGAAUGGACAAGAAAAAAUUAUUUUUGUAAAACAUAAUAGUUUAUUCUAUAGUAAAAUAGAAGACAAAUGCGUGUAAAAUUUACAUAUUGGUUAGCGAAAGAAAUGUCGAAUCGCAUAUAAUAGGAGAUUUCGAGUCGAUUUUAAACAGUUUAACGGUUUGAUUUUUUUAAUCUCGGCCGUGCGAAAAUUUAUCUCGUUCCGCGUGAUUUUUAUCAAUCGAAAAAAUGUGUUUCAAAGCGUAUUUAUUUUUCUGGAUUUUCGUUAUCACUAUAUUUCUAUGGAAUUUACAAAAAGAUUAUUGUUCGGCUUUACCCAAAGGCACCAGAAUGGCCAUUCGGUACGACAAAUUCGAAUGGGUGAUAAACGACAUUUUCGGACGCGUCAACCAGGUUUACGUCAGUCAGUACAACGGCACCGAUUUCGCCAAUAUAGCCAUGACGUUCGAUUUCGAUUCUGUUUUGCAUAGGCUGACCGUGGACAUGAUAAGGUGCAAGGAGCACUACAUAGACUGUGUGAACUACAGGAGUUUCGAGGUAGAGCGAUUCUGCGGAAAAGAAAAAGCCAUACUGUUUUUCGCCAAAAUCGGCUACGUCAACCGCGAGUUGUUGUGCACGACCGACAAAGGACUGUUGGUGAUCAAAAACGCGACUCUGAACGUGGACAACAUAGUUGAGGCGUUUGCGCUCGCUCUGGACAAGUGGUGGGAGAGCACGUGGAAAUGGGACUGUGUUUUUUUCUCUCGCGACGGACCUUAUAUCAUGCGGUUGACAGGACAGCUCCGAUUUCUUCUGUUGAGCGGACGGAGGACUCGUAGACAUUAGAUAAAAAAUGUUAUCCAUAAAUUAUUAUAGUUAUUUGUUUUGUUAUAUUACUAAUGUAUUUUUCAUUGU